AAGCAUAUUUUUACUCCUGAACUUAUCUAGGCUUGCCAUAAAAGGGCUUUUCAUUUURUAUUAAUUUGUKAAAUUUAGAAAAACAAUUCKACUUUGACAUUAUGGGGUAUUGUGUAUAGGCCAGUGACACAAAAUCUCAAUUGAAUCCAUUAUAAAUUCAGGCUGUAACACAAGAAAAUGUGGAAAAAYUAAAGGUGUGUCAAUACUUUGAAGGCAAUGUACACAGUGACACUMGCUUUCCCUUCCUAAAGUGUCACUACAUUUACUUCCCUACUAAAUUGGAGUACAUCACUUUAACUUCUAGUAUGUAUUGAGAUGUUUGGAUGGACCUUAAAGUCCUCAGGUUGUGGUGGUCAUGUACUGUAUCCUCGGUCGACUACAYAGUAUUUUGAAUAUGGCAGGGAAACUGACUGUGCUGUAUGUAUUUUUGAACAAUGACAUAACAAUGUAAUCUGCCUUGUUUAGAGUGGUUUACCAGAUGGCUUCCAUGGAGUUUCUCAACCUCCACCAAAUAGGGAAUUGCCAUUGACAGCAAGUAAACAACCAGAACACCAACUGCCGCCAAUGUAAACAUCUUAAGGUAGCAAGCGUCUCUGCUACAUUCAAAACCACGGCUGCAGUUGUCAGGCUCGGUUUGAGGUCAUAAAGCAUCCAGMGKCGGGUGGAAAUGAAGACCACACAGCUUGAAGAGAUCAGGUUGAAGAGAGAGGACAUAUUUAACUUGUCUCUGGCAGGCAGCAGUGUCAAGUUGGAGGGAGGCUUGGUGGUCUGUGUGUGACAUGGAGAAGGGCCCACCGGCACRGCAGCAGCCCCGCUGAGGCCAGGUCUACAGCUGUCCCACCCUGCCAGGGCCUCUGCUUACAGUCACUAUCAAUCCAGCUGAUCCAGCAGCAGCCCCACCUUGACCUGACAGAUCAACAAUGCUCUCUGUCUCUCCAUUAUUGGCCAGAUGUUUGGACACAGCUUGUAGCAGGGUGAUGAGGCCAGAACUGAUAUUGGAUUUCAUAGCCCUAUAAUGCUAUAGUCCAAUCAUUGAAAUGCUUUACUUUAGAACAAAAGCUUUUGCUAAUUAAAUCAAUAAAAUUGUCUUGUUUGUUCUACAGCAAGGAGAACAUCCCCUGAAGGUGUGUGUGUGUGUUUGUAUCUAGUGUAGUCACGGGUGUUGUGUGUGUGUGUGUGUGUGUGUGUGUGUGUGUGUGUGUGUGUGUGCAUAUGUGUUCAUGCAUGUAUGUGUAUGUGUCUGAAUGUAAUACAGAAUCUCAUGCAACAAUCACAGGAUGGAAUGCUCCUUGGUCCACAGGAGAGGAUGGAUGGAGAGAAGAUGGAUGGAGACUAAAGAUGGAUGGAUAGAGGAUAGAGACUAGAGAUGGAUG